AGCAGCCGCGGUAAUUCCAGCUCCAAUAGCGUAUAUUAAAGUUGUUGCAGUUAAAAAGCUCGUAGUUGAAUCUCGGAAUCUGUCCGUUGGUCGGGCUUCACUGUCCGUACUGGUGUGGUGGGUUCUUACCUUCUGAAUAACUAGCAUGCCAUUCACUUGGUGCGCUGGGGAAGCGGGACUAUUACCUUGAAAAAAUUAGAGUGCUCAAAGCAGGCUAGUGCCUGAAUACAUUAGCAUGGAGUAAUAAAAUAGGACGGCAUGGUUCUAUUUUGUUGGUUUCUAGGACCACCGUA
rnacentral:rRNA from 1 species